rnacentral:lncRNA from 1 species
AGAUACGCAAACGCAGAGGAGGGGGAUGCAGAGUAGAGGGAGGAGAAGAAGCAAAUAGUGCAUGACCAUGGAAAUGCUGGGACCACCAAGAAGGAACCAUGACAGUCCAUACAAGGAAGAGAUUCUGGGAGUGAUGGGCUUUCAAGAAGAAUUUGCUUUUCUUGUAGGUAUCAAAGAACUUAUUGAGGGAAAAAAAGAUCCAUUGAGGACUACUGAAGGCAAAACCAAUCCUUAUCUGGAGAAAUUGAACCACAAAGGAGCUGGGAGGAGGGAAGAGUAUACUGAGAAGUAUCACCAUGUUUGCUUUGUUCUCAUACUCUUCUCUGGGCUCCUGUAGUUGGUCACUGAAGUCCUUAAUCUUGUUCUGCAGUGUAGGUUUUCUGUUGAGCCUGUCACCUCCCUGGGACCAACCAUUUCAUGGCCCACAUGCCUAUGUCAGGAGCCAACUGCUUAGUGCUGAAGCCCGGAUCAUGCUCCAGACCAGUUAAGAACACCACCAAGGGAGACGGGUGUCAGUGGCACCCAGCAUGGUGUUUCUGCUGAGGGCAGUAGUCCUUGGGUGUGCAGUUCAGUUAUCAGGUGUUUCUCCAGGCUUCUUCCUCCAGCUGAGACAGCAAGGAGCUUUGCUGUACACCUGGGAUCAGUUCCCAGGAAACCACCCUCACAAAUUUGUGUUUGUUUUCCUUAUAAUGUGAAGCAACACCUACUUCCUUGCAGUUCCUGCUACACUGCUGUGUUGUGCUCAUUACUCUAGGACGUUCAAAAACAUCCAAGUGUGCCUAUGACUCUAGUAAUCUUUGUGUCAGUUUUAUUUGUUGCACAGAAGAGAGGCUAUAAUAAACACUAAACAGAGACAUGAGGAAAUCUUCA